rnacentral:misc_RNA from 1 species
ACACCCUCAAGCUCUGCUUGGUGUUGGGCGUCUGUCCCGCCGUCUAGGCGUGGACUCGCCCCAAAGGUAUUGGCAGCGGUCCUCGCCAGCUUCUCGCGCAGCAGUUCGCGCUUUGGAGUGUAGCGAGGCCCGUAUCCAUAAAGAACACUUUCCAUAA